AAGAAAGUAAUAAAGGGCGUAUGGGGGAUGCCUAGGCUCUUGGAGGCGAAGAAAGACGUGGUAAGCUGCGAUAAGCCUCGGGGAUUUGCAAACGAGAAUUGAUCCGAGGAUUUCUGAAUGGGACAACCCGGCAGGCAGAAGGCCUGUCACACGAAAGUGGGCCAACCCUCUGAACUGAAACAUCUUAGUAGGAGGAGGAAAAGAAAGAAACAUCGAUUUCCUAAGUAGCGGCGAGCGAACGGGAAACAGCCUAAACCACAAUUGUUACGGCAACUGUGGGGUUGUAGGACUGCAAUAUUCAAAUGACUGUGAACUGGAAUGUUCUGGAAAGUUCAUCCAAAGAGAGUGAAAGACUCGUACAGGCAAGCACGUCAAGCGAUAGCAGUAUCCUGAGUAGGGCGGGACACGAGGAA
rnacentral:rRNA from 1 species